AUUUUUAUUCAUUAUAAUUAUUUAAUAUUUAUCAUAUAAGUUACAUCAAUUAACCAUGAAGAGGGAAAAAAAAAUUAAGGAUGAAGAAAAUAUACACAUGAAUAAAAUUUUAUAUACCAUGGUAUUUAGACAAAAUUGAAAUAUAUAUUACAUAUAGAUAUGUACAUAAAAUUCCUCUUUUUGUUUCUUACAAAAAGAUUAUAUAUUAAUCCUUGUCAAUCAGGAGGAUUGAGAAAUAGGGGGAGAAGAGCCAAUCAAAUCAGCAAUGAUUCUUCUCAUUACUUCUCCCCUCUUUGGUGGCGGCGGCGGCGCUAUGGCCUUCUGCACGGCGGCCGCCACCGUAUUGGCGGUGAUCACUUGCCUGCCGCUGCCGGAGGUUGUGGCUGUUUCUUUCGUGGCCGCCCCUUCUCUUGUUCCACUCAUUUUUAUUUUUUUUUUGGGAUUCAAUUUAAAUUUAAUUUUGUUUUUGUGAUUGAAUUUCAAGAGAAAACUUUCUUUGCAG
rnacentral:lncRNA from 1 species